GAUGAACGCUGGCGGCGUGCCUAAUACAUGCAAGUCGAGCGAACGGACGAGAAGCUUGCUUCUCUGAUGUUAGCGGCGGACGGGUGAGUAACACGUGGAUAACCUUCCUAUAAGACUGGGAUAACUUCGGGAAACCGGAGCUAAUACCGGAUAAUAUUUUGAACCGCAUGGUUCAAAAGUGAAAGACGGUCUUGCUGUCACUUAUAGAUGGAUCCGCGCUGCAUUAGCUAGUUGGUAAGGUAACGGCUUACCAAGGCAACGAUGCAUAGCCGACCUGAGAGGGUGAUCGGCCACACUGGAACUGAGACACGGUCCAGACUCCGACGGGAGGCAGCAGUAGGGAAUCUUCCACAAUGGGCGGAAGCCUGACGGAGCGACGCCGCGUGAGUGAUGAAGGUCUUCGGAUCGUAAAACUCUGUUAUUAGGGAAGAACAUAUGUGUAAGUAACUGUGCACAUCUUGACGGUACCUAAUCAGAAAGCCACGGCUAACUACGUG
rnacentral:rRNA from 1 species